rnacentral:rRNA from 1 species
AUCGAUGUCAGAACGAUGAACCUCCUUCGGGAGGGGAUUAGUGGCGAACGGGUGAGUAACACGUGGGCAAUCUGCCCUGCACUCUGGGACAAGCCCUGGAAACGGGGUCUAAUACCGGAUACUGACCCGCUUGGGCAUCCAAGCGGUUCGAAAGCUCCGGCGGUGCAGGAUGAGCCCGCGGCCUAUCAGCUUGUUGGUGAGGUAAUGGCUCACCAAGGCGACGACGGGUAGCCGGCCUGAGAGGGCGACCGGCCACACUGGGACUGAGACACGGCCCAGACUCCUACGGGAGGCAGCAGUGGGGAAUAUUGCACAAUGGGCGAAAGCCUGAUGCAGCGACGCCGCGUGAGGGAUGACGGCCUUCGGGUUGUAAACCUCUUUCAGCAGGGAAGAAGCGAAAGUGACGGUACCUGCAGAAGAAGCGCCGGCUAACUACGUGCCAGCAGCCGCGGUAAUACGUAGGGCGCGAGCGUUGUCCGGAAUUAUUGGGCGUAAAGAGCUCGUAGGCGGCUUGUCACGUCGGUUGUGAAAGCCCGGGGCUUAACCCCGGGUCUGCAGUCGAUACGGGCAGGCUAGAGUUCGGUAGGGGAGAUCGGAAUUCCUGGUGUAGCGGUGAAAUGCGCAGAUAUCAGGAGGAACACCGGUGGCGAAGGCGGAUCUCUGGGCCGAUACUGACGCUGAGGAGCGAAAGCGUGGGAGAGCGAACAGGAUUAGAUACCCUGAUAGUCCACGCCGUUAGACGGUGGGCACUAGGUGUGGCGACAUUCCACGUCGUCCGUGCCGAGCUAACGCAUUAAGUGCCCGGCUGGGGAGUACGGCCGCAGGCUUAAACUCAAGAUUUUAAGGGA